AACGACCCAGAAACAAACUAAACCGAGUUCCAAGAAGCUUGGAAGAUGAAGUCAGGUGUUGUAAUUGGUUUGGUUUUGAGCAUAGUUAUGGGCACCGGUAGCUCCCAACACUUGGGCAUGCCAGACUUGUCGAGUAACCCAUAUUGCUAUGCCUUCUGCGUGUUCCCCUGCUUCACUGGCCCCGUCGAAUGUGCAUUAUGCAUAAGAAAAUGCAUAUUAUCUGCCCAAGACUCCCCCAUGGAUAUCAAUCACUUAAACAAUGCUUACUUUUGCAAGCUCGGGUGUGCCACUUCUCGCUGCACUAGGCUCCUCUCGAACGCUCGAACAGAUGGGAAGAAGGUCGAAGGAUGUGUUGACUCGUGCUCUCGAACAUGCUCCAACGUGAAGAAUUAAUGAAGGAAGACGAAAUUAUGUGGAA